rnacentral:rRNA from 1 species
GGUAAUACGUAGGGUGCGAGCGUUAAUNGGAAUUACUGGGCGUAAAGCGAGCGCAGACGGUUUAUUAAGCAAGAUGUGAAAUCCCCGAGCUUAACUUGGGAACUGCGUUUUGAACUGNUAAGCUAGAGUAUGUCAGAGGGGGGUAGAAUUCCACGUGUAGCAGUGAAAUGCGUAGAGAUGUGGAGGAAUACCGUGGCGAAGGCAGCCCCCUGGGAUAAUACUGACGUUCAUGCUCGAAAGCGUGGGUAGCAAACAGGAUUAGAUACCCUGGUAGUCCACGCCCUAAACGAUAUCAAUUAGCUGUUGGGGCACUUGGUGCCUUAGUAGCGAAGCUAACGCGUGAAAUUGGCCGCCUGGGGAGUACGGUCGCAAGAUUAAAACUCAAAGGAAUUGACGGGGACCCGCACAAGCGGUGGAUGAUGUGGAUUAAUUCGAUGCAACGCGAAGAACCUUACCUGGUCUUGACAUGUACGGAAUCUUCCAGAGACGGAAGAGUGCCUUCGGGAGCCGUAACACAGGUGCUGCAUGGCUGUCGUCAGCUCGUGUCGUGAGGUGUUGGGUUAAGUCCCGCAACGAGCGCAACCCUUGUCAUUAGUUGCCACCAUUCAGUUGGGCACUCUAAUGAGACUGCCGGUGACAAACCGGAGGAAGGUGGGGAUGACGUCAAGUCCUCAUGGCCCUUAUGACCAGGGCUUCACACGUCAUACAAUGGUCGGUACAGAGGGUAGCCAAGCCGCGAGGUGGAGCCAAUCUCAGAAAACCGAUCGUAGUCCGGAUUGCACUCUGCAACUCGAGUGCAUGAAGUCGGAAUCGCUAGUAAUCGCAGGUCAGCAUACUGCGGUGAAUACGUUCCCGGGUCUUGUACACACCGCCCGUCACACCAUGGGAGUGGGGGAUACCAGAAGUAGGUAGGCUAACCGCAAGGAGGCCGCUUACCACG